rnacentral:rRNA from 1 species
AACCGUGGAGACAGGUGCUGCAUGGCUGUCGUCAGCUCGUGUCGUGAGAUGUAGGGUUAAGUCCCGCAACGAGCGCAACCCUUGUCUUUAAUUGCCAUCAUUGAGUUGGGCACUUUAAAGAGACUGCCGGUGUCAAACCGGAGGAAGGUGGGGAUGACGUCAAGUCCUCAUGGCCUUUAUGACCAGGGCUACACACGUACUACAAUGGCAGGUACAAAGGGCAGCCACUUAGCGAUAAGGCGCGAAUCCCAUAAAACCUGUCUCAGUCCGGAUUGGAGUCUGCAACUCGACUCCAUGAAGUUGGAAUCGCUAGUAAUCGCAGAUCAGCACGCUGCGGUGAAUACGUUCCCGGGCCUU